rnacentral:miRNA from 1 species
GCAGACACAUUCCAGCCAAUCAGCAGCAGACCCUCCCUCUCAGACCCUCCCACCUCCUGGACAGCAUCCAUUUUACAUUCAUUGUGAAGCUGCAUUCUUAGUGAGCUGUCCAGGAGGUGGGAGGGUCUGGGAGGGAGGGUCUGCUGCUGAUUGGCUGCAAUGUGUCUG